GACGAACGCUGGCGGCGUGCUUCACACAUGCAAGUCGAGCGGUAAGGCCCUUUCGGGGGUACACGAGCGGCGAACGGGUGAGUAACACGUGGGUGACCUGCCCUCAGCUCUGGGAUAAGCCUGGGAAACCGGGUCUAAUACCGGAUAUGACUCCAUGACGCAUGUUGUGGGGUGGAAAGCCUUGUGCGGCUGAGGAUGGGCCCGCGGCCUAUCAGCUUGUUGGUGGGGG
rnacentral:rRNA from 1 species